UAGCUCAACUGGUAGAGCGCCGGUCUCCAAAACCGGAGGUUGCGGGUUCGAUGCCUGC
rnacentral:tRNA from 1 species